rnacentral:rRNA from 1 species
GCAUACCGCCGGCCCCGAAGUACAGUGGCGGCCCGUCCGCGGCGACCUCUGCGUAGUACUCCAACGCGCACCGGGAACCCGACGCGGCCACGCCGUAAAACACCCGACUUCUGAACGUUGACCUCGGAUCAGGUAGGACU